rnacentral:rRNA from 1 species
AACAGGAUUAGAUACCCUGGUAGUCCACGCCGUAAACGAUGUCGACUUGGAGGUUGUUCCCUUGAGGAGUGGCUUCCGGAGCUAACGCGUUAAGUCGACCGCCUGGGGAGUACGGCCGCAAGGUUAAAACUCAAAUGAAUUGACGGGGGCCCGCACAAGCGGUGGAGCAUGUGGUUUAAUUCGAUGCAACGCGAAGAACCUUACCUACUCUUGACAUCCAGCGAACUUAGCAGAGAUGCUUUGGUGCCUUCGGGAACGCUGAGACAGGUGCUGCAUGGCUGUCGUCAGCUCGUGUUGUGAAAUGUUGGGUUAAGUCCCGCAACGAGCGCAACCCUUAUCCUUUGUUGCCAGCGAUUCGGUCGGGAACUCAAAGGAGACUGCCGGUGAUAAACCGGAGGAAGGUGGGGAUGACGUCAAGUCAUCAUGGCCCUUACGAGUAGGGCUACACACGUGCUACAAUGGCGCAUACAAAGAGAAGCGACCUCGCGAGAGCAAGCGGACCUCACAAAGUGCGUCGUAGUCCGGAUCGGAGUCUGCAACUCGACUCCGUGAAGUCGGAAUCGCUAGUAAUCGUAGAUCAGAAUGCUACGGUGAAUACGUUCCCGGGCCUUGUACACACCGCCCGUCACACCAUGGGAGUGGGUUGCAAAAGAAGUAGAUAGCUUAACCUUCGGGAGGGCGUUUACCACUUUGUGAUUCAUGACUGGGGUGAAGUCGUAACAAGGUAACC